GCGUAGCCUAUUUCUGAAAUGUCAUUAAACCCAACAGUAGGCCUAAAUGAACUAAAUCCCAUAGCCUAGGUAGGUUAGCAACACAAACUUGAGAGAUGCAAGUGAGCAAAUCAACUUAACAUUAGCCUAUUAUUUGUUACU